UGGUGUCCUGCAGCGCUCGGUACCAUUCGUUGACAAGGACGUCGUUUUCUGACUGGAUCAGCAGCUCUGUGCCCUGUCGAGUCUUCAGCUGCAAACAUCACAGACACACAAAGUCAUCAACACCGCCCCUUAAAUAGCCCCACAAACGCAGAAUCAAGCUCACCUCUAUGACGUGUUUCUUGCUGGACUUGUCUUUGGAGGCCCACUCCACCGAGCCGCCCCUCAGAUCCACGGUGAACUCUGGUUUGGACUGACCGCCUCCGAACUGGACAGAGGAGAGAGGAAAUGAAUCAAAUGAGGGCAGAUGAACACGCAGACGGCGUCUUCAUAGACGUGUUGAGGGCUCAACCAUGCAACGACUUGACAACAGAGGACUUUUUUCUUUGGAACACCACAUCUGACCUUUACAACAUCUCAGUUUCCAAGAAAACAGAUCUCUCUUUGAACCUUGUGGUUCAUGAACUCCUCAACUUGUUACUCUACGAGGUAAAAACAUUACCUGCUUUCCUAUAAUGUCCAAAUCAAUACGCCUAUUUAAAGUCCAGCUGAGCCACGGAGUAAAAGAACGAUAACACAGUAAUAUUGUCCUGAAUCUCGGAUCCAUGCCAGUGACUAAAAACACACAGUGGGGUUGGGGUCGGAGCAUGGCAGACAGGAGGGAGGUGGCAUGCAGAGGAGGACAGAGAGGAGCACACAAAAGGAAGGAGGCAGCACAUACAGAGGAGGCUCUGUCGAGCUCAGAGCAGCCAUAGGAGACGGCAGGACGUUUCUUAGCAGACGGCUUCCAGUUACUCAACAGUGACAGGAGAAAUUCAGGGAAGGAGCCACUGUGGUAGUAUGGCUGCAUGGAAGGACGGAGAGGGGUGAAGACAAGGAAGACGGAGGGGGAUGGAGCCGAAAGGUAAAGAGAUGGAGAGGGAAACACGUAGAAGAGAGAAAAUUCAACCCCGACUCCCAUCCAGUGAGCCGACAAACCACUCAAAAACACUGACGGCCAACUUCAAUGACUUCUGUCUAGAUACGAUUCUGCUUUCUUGACAUGAAACAACUCUUAGGAGAAGGUUUUU